rnacentral:rRNA from 1 species
CCUGACUGCUAUCGGAUUGAUACUAAGCCAUGCGAGUCAUUGCAGUAAUGCAAGGCAGACGGCUCAGUAAUGCGUAGUCAACCUACCCUAUGGACGGGAAUAACCUCGGGAAACUGAGUAUAAUGCCCGAUAGAACACUAUACCUGGAAUGGUUUGUGUUCCAAAUGAAUGUCGCCGUAGGAUGGGACUGCGGCCUAUCAGUUUGUUGGUGAGGUAAUGGCCCACCAAGACUAUUACAGGUACGGGCUCUGAGAGGAGUAGCCCGGAGAUGGGUACUGAGACACAGACCCAGGCCCUAUGGGGCGCAGCAGGCGAGAAAACUUUGCAAUGUGCGAAAGCACGACAAGGUUAAUCCGAGUGGUUUGUGCUAAACGAACCUUUUGACAGUCCUAGAAACACUGUUGAAUAAGGGGUGGGCAAGUUCUGGUGUCAGCCGCCGCGGUAAAACCAGCACCUCAAGUGGUCAGGAUGAUUAUUGGGCCUAAAGCAUCCGUAGCCGGCUCUGUAAGUUUUCGGUUAAAUCUGUACGCUCAACGUACAGGCUGCCGGGAAUACUGCAGAGCUAGGGAGUGGGAGAGGUAGACGGUACUCGGUAGGAAGGGGUAAAAUCCUUUGAUCUAUUGAUGACCACCUGUGGCGAAGGCGGUCUACCAGAACACGUCCGACGGUGAGGGAUGAAAGCUGGGGGAGCAAACCGGAUUAGAUACCCGGGUAGUCCCAGCUGUAACUAUGCAAACUCAGUGAUGCAUUGGCU